CCAGCAAAAUCACAAAAUCCAAAAAAAUUUCCUUCACAACUCUUCACACAUCAACUAAACAAUCUUUCCUUCAAAAAAUUUCAAUCACCAGAGAAUUUCUCCUUCAUUACUUGAAAUUUUCCCUUCUUAUAAACUGCGUCUGACAACCUCUUAUAUAUCUCACCACCACUGCAUACAUCCUCCAUUCCCGUGUCUUUGCUUGUUCGGUCUCUCUCACAAUGCGAUCUUAGCCACUCUUUUCUCUCUCCAUCCAACAUAAGCCUUCAAGCUUCUACUUUUUCACUAUCCCAGUUCGGCUUCCAGUAGAAAGUAGUAGAAAGUUGCAGAACAAAAAUGAAAUAAAAAAUGCAUAUUUUUAC
rnacentral:lncRNA from 1 species